AAUUCACUCCCGUCAACUGUGAAAAAGUCUGUAUGUCCGUUAAUGUGACUCUUUACCCUUGCAUCUUCUUCACUCUUCCCGUUGAACAAGAGGAAGUUGCAAGACUCUGGAUUAUGAGAUUUAUUCUUUGAGUGUUGGCUGAGAGUGGGAUCAAAACAUUUCUCAAGCACUUUGGAAGCUCUUUUGAACACGAACUUCAGUAACAUUAAUGGCUCCUUCGUCAGGAGUAUAGGUUAUUUCUUAUGGAUGAAAAUUGUCAAUGGCAUGAGCAAAGUCGGAAAAAGGGAGGGGUACUUGAAAGAGAGAUAUGAUUGUGGCAUGUUUGCAAUCAAGUACAUGCAACAUUGGAACGGGGCCACACUAGCACAUUCAAUUGCGGAGGACAAGAUGCAUCUAUAUUGAUUGAGGCUGGUCGUUACCUUGGUCACGAAUGUGGCAAACAAUGAUAGAGAGGUCAUGAAGGCAUGUCGAAUGUGACGUAUGAGGGUUGUGCCACUUUUGUUAGUUGCAAUUUAUGAACUACUAAGUAUAAAAGAUAAUGUCAAAGAGAAGGGAAAGAUAACAUGUCUGUAUAUAAUCAUGGUUUGCUUUAUUUGUUUGUUAAUAGUGUUUGCCACUAUGCACCAAUUUAUGCUAACGCAAUAAUGCACACUGGGACAAUAGUGGAAACAUUUGUCAGGAUAAUAUGGUGGGAUUUUUUGAACUUCUAACCAUCGAUCCCUUUGUCUUUUAUUCCAUGAUGCUCCAUUAACUUUAUUGUUCAUGCUUAUUGUCUUUUGUUUUACAAGAAAGGUUGAGCAUAGCCACAAAUUGGGCUAUGUUAAGUGCAUCAACAAGGCUAAGUGUGAUUAAUAGAGGCCACUUGGAACAGGGAAGGUCACUGAUGUCACCUUACUUGCCUGAGAGUGGGGCUGGUGGUGGCGGCAAUCCAUAAUCAGAAGGCGACAAUUAGAAAACAUAAUUGUUGACAACCAUGAAGACACCAUGACGAAAAUAGGAGCAAUGUUACACUUCAGAAUCGUGGCUGCUGGAGAAAAGGAUGUGAUCAUACGACAUUCUCAUCAUCACUCAGACUUUAUAAUAUAACUGUUCAUAUUUUGCUUUUUGUUUGUAAAUUUAGGCAUGCCCAAUACCAGAGCUCCUCUAAAAACUCUAUAGAUACAUCAUAAUUGGUUUUUUUUGGUUUACCAUUUUUACUUUGGGCACCCAUUGCAUACUUCCGAUAUAUUUGGGUUGUGCCCCCUCUUCUGUUAGGUGGUUUUAGAUUAAUUUAUCAACAACUUAAAAAAAUACAGUGGUAUAUGAAAUUUUGGUUGAGCUAAAGAGGUUACUCCAUGACCUCUUUGCAGGUGUGUAGUUCUAUGAGAGCCAUGCAAUAUGAGAAACUAUUGCCUAGGUUGAAGAACUUGCUUUCUAUUCAGCAUACUAUUUGGCCAAGUACGAUGCGUUUGAUAUUGGCUUUAUAACCACGGACGACUUCACAAAUGUAGACAUAUCAGAAGCAACUUACCCAGCUGUUGCAAAGAGGUUAUAUAAUGAUUGGAUUAAUGGUCCUGCAAUUCCCAUAGUUACUGGUUUGCUUGGAAAGGUUCCUGCUAUGAAGUUUAAUGGUUUCAAUUCCCAGUAACUGGAUUUUAUGCGCACGAGUUGUAGGAAUAUGAUUUACAUUCUUGUAAUUCCAGGGUUGGAAAUCUGGUGCAGUUACUAUCUUAGGUAGGGGUGGGAGUGAUUUGAUAGCCACAUCCAUUGGCGGAGCCUUAGGCUUGCAAGAGAUUCAGGUACGAUCAACUCCUUAGCGCAUGGAAACUGAAAGUCCUGUGGCCAUUGGCAGUCCUUUUUGUAUCUGUACCAUGUUUUGUCUGAAUUGAUUCACAAUGUUCUCUAGUUAUAAUUGAUAAGGAUGAGGCCGACUUUAGUUGUAAAUACUUAAUAUAUUUUUAUGGAGCAAGGGUGCUUCCUACGUUCACCAUAUUGACUUGUGAUCCAAGUAUUUAUUCAUGUGCAUUGCCUAUACUAUAUUGUAAUUAUAUUACAACUUUAAGGUUUUUUUUUUAUGAGGAGUACGAUUGAUUAUUUAUCUAAUAUUUCAGAUUCAGAAGUGCAAUGUUGCUGUGGGGAUAACUAGGUUUCGUUCCCAAUAUACAUGGAAAAUUACCUUUCUACUUGAAUUAGUGUGUAAAUUUGAGCCUUUUCUUUUAUUGUAUUGAUAGUUUAAUCAUACGUGUUAAAUCCCGUAGUUCUCCUGGAUUUUCAAAUUGAUUAAUGGCUCAGUCUGUAUCUUAUUCUGACUUUUCAGUUGAGGAUUUUGAUGUUGGUUUAAGAUGUUUCAUCAAGCUUCUAAUGUGAAUGUACCUCUGGUCGUUCACCUGUUGCUAGGCAAUUUAAUGAUCUAGUAAUGCAUCCGCUUGAACUGUGUAGGACCUAUUAUGUUAUGAGAUUGUGUGGGAAGUUAGCAUUAGGUACCAUGCCUAUUGAAUGUUUUAUCAGUGAAGGAUAUUAUGAUCUUUUUAAUUUGUUGGUUCUUGCUGUAGUUUUGAUAAACAUAAUUGUUGGACCCUGAAUUUUGGAGCCAAACAUUUGACUUGUUCAAUGUGAACAGUAUAUGUGAAGCAGAGAGAACUCUGAUGCUUAAGUCAGUAAUAAUUCAAGGUGAUAGGAAAGUUUUGAUGGAAUAAGGAGUAUAUAUUUUGAUGGAAAGUUUUGAUGGAAUAAGGACUUAUAUUAUAAGUCAAUAUAUAAAUAUCCAGUAUCUACUAGGGACAUUACAUGCAUGGAUCGUAGAGUGAGGCAAACAGCACAAAUUAACACACGCACAUGAAAGUUCAGACUUUCCUAACCUGGCAAAAUUGAAGUUUAGUACAGAGUUUUAAGGUGUGGAUAAUAAGAUUAUGAGCAUUAUAGAAAUGUUGGUGUAUCUAUUAAGUACUGGCUCCUAUAUGUCAUGAACCUAUCAAGCAUAUGAUCAUAUCUUCCCCCAUCAAGCAUAUGACCAUAUGGAAGCAUGGCCACAUUCAUCAUAUCAUGUCUAUAUCCUAUCCUCAUCAAGCAUGAAUAUUUUCAUGCUUAUGUCCCUCUUUGGUUUCUGGUUGAUUGCUAAUGCAAAAUGAGCCAGAUUGUGACGCUACACCAAUUUAGCACCAGCUUGAAUAUGAGUCUACACCAGUUUAGAUCCAGCCUGCUGGUGAAUCUCUACUUGCUUAUGCCACAUAUGAACAACCCUGCCUUGGGGACAUUACAGAACUAUUCUGCAUGCUGUCAUGUAGGAUAAUGGUACAAACCUGGUAUGCACUUAUCAGUGGAGAGCAUAGCAUUUAAUUUCAUCUUUGAGGAUUGAGAGAUUUCGAAGUAUCAGUCAUGAUGGUACUGAUCUUGUCUUGAAAUUCAUGCUCUGUAAAUGGGAAAACUUACACUUCAAAAUUUUGGCAGGCAGAAAAGGCAGAUCGUGAGGGUCACAGCCUAGGUGGAACACCCCAAGAGCAUAGUGCUUCCUGUAGGCCUGAAAUGGCCCCAUCCUAUUCCAGUACCCGAGAGUGGCUGUGUCCUUAUAGCCACAAUGAAGCUUGAUGGGGUAUGCUCCUUUGAAAGAACUGUUCUCCUUCUCAGAUCUGGAACCAGACACCCACAGGAGGGGCCAUUUGCAGUUGUCAUUAACCGGGCUCUUCACAAAAAGAUCAGACACAUGAAGCCCAUUAAUCUGGAGCUGGCAACCACUUAUGCUGAAUGUUCCUUGCAUUUUGGUGGUCCUCUAGAGGCAAGCAUGUUUUUACUUAAAACAGGGGUUUUGACUUGCGAUCCAAGUAUUUAUCCACGUGCAUUGCAUGUACAAUAUUGUAAUUAUAUUACGACUUUAAGGUUAUUUUCUCUUUUGAUGAGGUGUACGAUUGAUUAUUUAGCUGAUAUUUAAGAUUCAGAAGUGGACUGUUGAUGUGGUGAUAA